ACUACAAGCUUGAUAGGCUGGGUGUGUACGCAGAGUAAUCUGUUUAGCUGACCAGUACUAAUAGUACGUUUGUCUUUUUUUA
rnacentral:rRNA from 1 species